rnacentral:misc_RNA from 1 species
AUAUUCUUGUUUGAACUUCCUCCUUCAUCUACUGCUUCCUUAGCCAAUUUUUUCCAUUUAAUUGCAUUCUCUUUAAGCAUUAUACCUUCCUCUUCCCUCAUGACUCGCCUUACGGAGCUCGCGAUUUCAUCUCUAUUCACUACACCAUUUUCUCCAGCCUUAACACGAACUCCUGUUUGCCAUACAUCACUAAUAAAUUUCGCGUUAGUUGGUUGAUCUGACCAUUGUGGCAUGGCCACCAUCGGCACUCCCAAACUCAGUGCCUCCAGAGUCGAAUUCCAUCCACAAUGAGUA